GACGAACGCUGGCGGCGUGCUUAACACAUGCAAGUCGAACGAUGAAGCCGGAGCUUGCUCUGGUGAAUUAGUGGCGAUCGGGUGAGUAACACGUGAGUAACCUGCCCUUGACUCUGGGAUAACUGCGGGAAACUGUAGCUAAUACCGGAUACGACCCUCGGAGGCAUCUCCUGGGGGUGGAAAGAAUUUCGGUCAAGGAUGGACUCGCGGCCUAUCAGCUAGUUGGUGAGGUAAAGGCUCACCAAGGCGACGACGGGUAGCCGGCCUGAGAGGGUGACCGGCCACACUGGGACUGAGACACGGCCCAGACUCCUGCGGGAGGCAGCAGUGGGGAAUAUCGCACAAUGGGCGCAAGCCUGAUGCAGCAACGCCGCGUGAGGGAUGACGGCCUUCGGGUUGUAAACCUCUUUUAGCAGGGAAGAAGCGAAAGUGACGGUACCUGCAGAAAAAGCACCGGCUAACUACGUGCCAGCAGCCGCAGUAA
rnacentral:rRNA from 1 species